rnacentral:rRNA from 1 species
CGGGGGCCGCGGCGGAAGGGGAUGGUUUACCAGACCCGGAAGGCGCGGGCCUUAGUGGCGGACGGGUGAGUAACGCGUGGGGAACCUGCCCCGUACCGGGGGAUAACACCUGGAAACAGGUGCUAAUACCGCAUAACAGAAGGGGACGCAUGUUCCUUUUUUGAAAACUCCGGUGGUACGGGAUGGACCCGCGUCUGAUUAGCUGGUUGGCGGGGUAACGGCCCACCAAGGCGACGAUCAGUAGCCGGCCUGAGAGGGCGGACGGCCACAUUGGGACUGAGACACGGCCCAAACUCCUACGGGAGGCAGCAGUGGGGAAUAUUGCACAAUGGGGGAAACCCUGAUGCAGCGACGCCGCGUGAGUGAAGAAGCGUUUCGGCGCGUAAAGCUCUGUCAGCGGGGAAGAAACACGGUUCGCGAGAGCCGCGGACGGUACCCGACCAAGAAGCCCCGGCUAACUACGUGCCAGCAGCCGCGGUAAUACGUAGGGGGCAAGCGUUAUCCGGAUUCACUGGGUGUAAAGGGAGCGUAGACGGCGAGACAAGUCUGGAGUGAAAGGCCGGGGCCCAACCCCGGGACUGCUCUGGAAACUGCCUGGCUGGAGUACAGGAGAGGUAAGUGGAAUUCCUAGUGUAGCGGUGAAAUGCGUAGAUAUUAGGAGGAACACCAGUGGCGAAGGCGGCUUACUGGACUGUAACUGACGUUGAGGCUCGAAAGCGUGGGGAGCAAACAGGAUUAGAUACCCUGGUAGUCCACGCCGUAAACGAUGAUCACUAGGUGUCGGGGGU